AUUAUGUGAAGUAUGACUCUUAGUGAGCAUCUGUGGACAGAAAAUCAGUCCCUUCUCCAGUGAGCUUGCCUCAUCCAGGAAAGGGAAGAAAAAAGAACCCACAGCAAAACCAACAAAAAUAAAGGCUUUUCCUACACUGGACCUGCAUAGCUCUCCGGAAUCAGAUCUGCACACACCUUCACCGUCAGCCUGCCCACCUCCCUACUCACACUCUCCCCUCCAAAUCUAUUCUCUGAAUUUAUUAUGCUUCAUUAUAUCUCCAGGCCUUUGUCUGGGGAUCGCCUUCACCUAGAACAGUCUGUUCCAAGACAGAAUGUGGAGAAAUGAAGAAAAAAAAAUUAAAACUUUUAUUUGUGUGUAGGAAUGUGGGUGCAUGCAUGUGCUUGUGGAGAUGUAUUUGGAAUAAAUAAGAGAACAAGUUUCAGUACAAUACAUUUUUGAUAUAUGGAUUGAUAACACAAGUACAUUUGGACGGUUAAAAAAUAAAGAUACUGGGAACUUAAAUAGCUUAACUGAAUGAAUUAUGAAAUCAAAAAUAUUUAAAUAGUAAGGAUCUAAUACACUGUCU
rnacentral:lncRNA from 1 species